GGUUCGAUGGUGUAGUUGGUUAUCACUUCUGUCUAACAACGCGAUUAAAAUCACGUGAUUUCACAGGCGGUCCUCAGUUCGAACCUGGGUCGAAUCA